rnacentral:hammerhead_ribozyme from 1 species
ACCCAACUGACGAGUUCCAAAUAGGACGAAACGUGCGUCCUGGAC